rnacentral:rRNA from 1 species
AGGACGAACGCUGGCGGCGUGCUUAACACAUGCAAGUCGAACGAGGUGCUUCGGCACUUAGUGGCGAACGGGUGAGUAACACGUGAGCAACCUGCCCUUGGCUCUGGGAUAGCCUCCGGAAACGGGGAUUAAUACCGGACAUGACCUGCUCCUGCAUGGGGGCGGGUGGAAAGUUUUUCGGCCAGGGAGGGGCUCGCGGCCUAUCAGCUUGUUGGGGGGUAACGGCCCACCAAGGCGACGACGGGUAG